GAUGAACGCUAGCGGCAGGCCUAACACAUGCAAGUCGAGGGGCAUCGCGGUGCAGCAAUGCACUGGCGGCGACCGGCGUACGGGUGCGUAACGCGUAUGCAACCUGCCCCGCACCGGGGGAUAGCCCGCCGAAAGGCGGAUUAAUACCCCAUGGUCCCGGGGGCCCGCAUGGGCAUCCGGGUAAAGCCUUGGCGGUGCGGGAUGGGCAUGCGUGCCAUUAGCUGGCUGGUGGGGUAACGGCCCACCAGGGCAACGAUGGCUAGGGGGUCUGAGAGGAUGGUCCCCCACACUGGGACUGAGACACGGCCCAGACUCCUACGGGAGGCAGCAGUGGGGAAUUUUGGACAAUGGGCGCAAGCCUGAUCCAGCCAUGCCGCGUGCGGGACGAAGGCCUUCGGGUUGUAAACCGCUUUCAGCCGGAAAGAAAUCGCUGACUUUAAUAGAGGCAGUGGAUGACGGUACCGGAAGAAGAAGCACCGGCUAACUACGUG
rnacentral:rRNA from 1 species